GGACCUUUAACUCAGUUGGUUAGAGUAGACGGUUCAUAACCGCGUGUGGUUCGAUUCCACACCA
rnacentral:tRNA from 1 species